rnacentral:rRNA from 1 species
UACGUAGGGGGCAAGCGUUGUCCGGAUUUAUUGGGCGUAAAGAGCGUGUAGGCGGCCUGAAAGGUCAGCUGUGAAAACUCGAGGCUCAACCUCGAGACGUCGGUUGAAACCAUCUGGCUAGAGUCCGGAAGAGGAGAGUGGAAUUCCCGGUGUAGCGGUGAAAUGCGCAGAUAUCGGGAAGAACACCCGUGGCGAAGGCGGUUCUCUGGGACGGUACUGACGCUGAGACGCGAAAGCGUGGGGAGCGAACAGG